CAAAAAGACAUCUGCACAAGGUGUAGGUGGCCAGCAGCUUUUUUUCAAUUGGCUGAACAGAAAGGUGAAAUCAAAUGUGACAACCUUUGCCUGCCAAGGGAGGGAAGGUGUGCAACACAAGCCACUGAAUAGCUUUCUGAAAGAAAAUUUUCAGCACUCACAAAGACUGUUUCCACAAAAUCACAGAAUCACAGGGGUUGGAAGGGAGAUCACCAAGUCCAACCCCCCUGAUAAAGCUGAACAGACCCAGGUUACUCAGCCUCUCCUCAUACAAGAGGUGCUCCAGUCCAUUUAUCAUCUUUGUGGCCCUCUGCUGGACUCCUUCCAAGAGAUCCCUGUCUUUUUUGGAGAGCCCAGAACUGGAC
ensembl:lncRNA